rnacentral:lncRNA from 1 species
GACAUAAGGGUUAGUGGGUAGUGCAUUAAAAAUUUUUUUGUUGUUGUUCUUUUUAGAGUUGCAUUUGCAGCAUAUGGAAGUUCCUGGACCUAGGGUUCAAAUUGGAGCUGCAGCUGCCAGCUUACAACACAGCCACAGCAACUCCAGGUCCAAGCCUCAUCUGUGACCUACACCACAGCUUGUAGAUCCCUAACCCACUGAGCAAGACCAGAGAUUGAACCUGCAUCCUCAUGGAUACUGGUCGGUUCUUAACCCACUGAGCCACAAUGGGAAUUUUUUUCAUAGAGAAUAAACAGGAAUUUCCCUCGUUGCCCAGUGGAAACGAAUCUGACUAGUAUCCAUGAGGAUGUGGGUUUGAUCCCUGGCCUCACUCAGUGGGUUAUGGAUUUGGCAUUGCCAAAAGCUGUAGUGUAGGUCACAGACAUGGCUUGGAUCCCAAGUUGCUGUGGCUGUGGUGGAGGUUGGCAGCUGUAGCUCCAAAUAGACUUCUAGCCUGGGAACUUGCAUAUGCUGCACCUGCGGCCCUAAAAAGCAAAAAAUAAAAUAAAAAACAAAAUAUUAACCCAUACCUAGUAUCAAGUUACAUUGAAAAUAUGAACCUUUAUCAUUAAGAAAAAAAUUAAGAUUUAUAUAGUAGCGAAAACACCUUCAUAAAAUAAUAUUGUCCUUAGGAGUAGCAUGAAUUUUUUUAUUAUAGUAUAUAUGGGUAUAACUUCAGUUUUACAUAUUUUAGGAUUAUAUACUUUUAUUUUCUUGCUUUUUUAGGGCUGCACUCGUGGCAUGUGGAAGUUCCCAGGCUAGGGGUCAUAUUAGAGCUAUAGCUGACAUCCUAUGCUGCAGCCACAACAGCACAGGGUCUGAGUCCUUUCUGCAACCUACACCACAGCAACACUGGAUCCUUAACCCACUGAGUGAGGUCUGGAAUCAAACCCACCUCCUCAUGGAGCCUAGUUGGGUUUGUUGCCACUGAACCAUGAUGGGAACUCCCUAUCAUUGUAUAUUUCUAACACAGUACAUUUUAUAUUGAGAAGUUACCUUGAACUCAGCUUAAAAUAAGCCACUUCUGGAGUUCCCUCUUUGGUGCAGUGGGUUAAGAAUCUGAUUGCAGGAUUUCCCCUUGUGGCUCAGUGGGCUAAGAACCAGUGGGUUUGAUCCCUGCCUUGCUCAGGGGGUUAAGGAUCCUGCAUUGCUAUGAUCUGUGGUAUAAAGUCGCAGGUGCAGCUCAGAUCUGGUGUUGCUGUGGCUAUGGUGUAGGCCUGCAGCUGCAGCUCCAUUUUGACCCCUACCCCAGGAACUUCAUAUGCCGCAGCUGUGGCCAUAAAAAAGAAAAAAAGAAUCUGAUGCGGUUCAGGUCACUACAGAGGUUCAGGUUCAAUCCGCAGCCCAGGGCAGUGGGUUAAAGGGUCCAGCGUUGCUACAGCUGUGGCAUAGGAUUCAUUCCUUGGCCCGAGAACUUCGUGUUUUUUUUUUUGUGGCCAUAAAAUUAAGAAAAAAAAAAAAAAAAGAUAAGCCAUUGGUAAUUUAUGAGCAAGGUCUACCUCAUCAUAAGUUUAGGUAAAAUAUGAUUUUAGUUAAAUAAAACUCAAAGAAUUUUGUUUAUCUGUUAAGAACUUCAUUAUUCCUCUUAUUUUUUGAGAUAAAAAGUUCACUGUAAUAGGUAUUUAGGAAGCUAUACUGUUGAGGUACUUGUAUUGGUUUCCUAAGGUUGCCGUAGCAAAUUAGCAUUAAUUCGUAUCUCUCAUUGUUCUAGAGGCUAGAAGUCUGAGAUCUAGGUGGUGACAAGGUUGGCUCCUUUUGAAACCACUGGUGGAGAAUCUAGUCCAUGCCUUUCUCUUAGCUUCUGGUAGCAGGAAGCAAUCCUUGGCAUUCCUUGGCUGUAGACUACUAUUCAUUCCAUUUUCUGCCUUCAGGUUUUUUUGUUUUUGUUUUCUUUUUAGGGCUGCACUCUCGGCAUGUGGAGGUUCCCAGACUAGGGGUCCAAUUGGAGCUGUAGCCACUGGCCUACGCCACAGCUACAGCAACACAGGCUCUGAGCCACAUCUGCAACCUAACACCACAGCUCAUGGCAACGCCGGAUCCUUAACCCACUGAGCGUGGCCAGGGAUCGGAUCUACGUCCUCACCAAUGCUAGUCAGAUUUGUUAACCGCUGAGCCACGAUAGGAACUCUUUCUGCCUUCAGUUUAUUAUCCUUACCCUUUAUGUCAAAUCUUCUCCUGUUUCUUAUGAAGACAGCAGUCAUUGGAUUAAGGGCUCACUCCAAAUUCAAGAUCCUUAAUUACAUCUACAAAGGCCCUAUUUCCAAAUAGUCACACUCACAGGUACUCGAAGUUAGAACUUAACAUCUUUGGGUGGACACAGUUCAACCCAUUUCAGUAUUACAGGAUUUUUUUUUUUUUUUGUAUGCCUCAGUUCCUGAAAAUGCUUUUUCAAACUAUUUUGUGCUACGGUUUAUUUAAAUGCAUCAAUUAUAUUUUGAAUGCCUGUGAGUUGCUUAUAAGAGAAAAAAUGAAAUACCAGGAGCCCAGCUUGAAUUCUUAAAUUAUGGAAGACACAGAUAUAUAACAGAAGUAAAUCUGAGUUGAAAUAUGCUAAGUACUAGAAUACUGGUUCAGGGUUCCUUAGAAACUUAGAGUAAAUCUAAGAGGCAUUAGGGAAGGACUUGAAGGGAAUCUCAUGUGAAUUUGGCUUUGGAGGAUUGAUAGGAUUUUUGAUGGGUAAAAAUAGUGUAUGAUAAAUAACAAAUUCAAAGAGAUGGAAUUUUGGUCAGGGGGGUUCAGUGGGUAUACUUUAGAGAAUGGUAGUCUUGAGUUUAGAACAUAAACAUGAGAAUUAAGCAACAUUUGAAAAGAGCGUAUGACUGCAGGUGUCCAAAUAUGUGCUGUAUUAACUGGAUAAAUGAGAUUAAAUGGGACUGUGAUAUUCGUUAGGUUGUACCUUGAAGAAUAGGCUUCUCAAAGGAAUUUAAACUGGAACAUGCAUGAUAGGGGUAUGUAGAGAAGGGAACAGGGCUUUCACAGGGCAGAAAGAGUGGGCAAAGGGAUUAAGCCCCACACAGAAAAGGAUGGUCCAGUUCUCAAUGUGUGGCAUAGUUUAGGCCGGAAGUGAUCUGGAUUCUGAUGAGCCUGCUAUGCUGAGGCGUGUUAGACGAUUAAUUUGGCACUGGUGUAUAGGGUGAAUUAGACAGAAAUGAUAGGAGGUACCAAGCCAGCCAGGGCUAAUCUAAAUCUAGGUAAAUUUGAGGUAUAUCCGUAAUGGUGCAGGUUUGAUCCUUGGCCUUACUCAGUGGGUUAAGGAUCUGGUGUUGCCGCAAGCUGUGGCAUAGGUCUCAGAUGGGGCUCAGAUCUGGUGUUGCUGUGGCUCUGGCAUAGGCUGGCAGCUGCAGCUCCGAUUUGACUCCUAGACUGGGAACCUCCAUAUGCUGCAGGUGUUGCCCAUUGCCCCCCCACAAAAAAAAAAAAAAAAAAAGAAAAAAAAUUACAAGGUAUUCAGAGUGGUGAGUAAAAUGACAGAUGGUUUUCUUGGCAAACUCUGGAAAGCUGAUUUAAAAUAUUUCAGGUUGUUACUGAAAGUUCUUUUUUGAAAUUUCUUAAAUUUUACUUGUGUUUUUGGUGUUGAGAAAUAUGAAUUUAGGUUUGGAAAAUUACAAGCAUUUGCUGUGGUCUAGUAGUAGUAAUAAUUGAAAACUAAAUAUUUCAGUCAACAGGUAGUUCAUUCUCUUCAUAAGGAAGCUUCAGUUUUCUCCAAUUAUGGAUUUUCUUUUUUAAGAUUUUUAUUUUUUCUUUUAUAGUUGAUUUUACAAUGUAGAUUUUCUUAUAAUAGAAAUUAUUUGCAUCUGGGGUUAAAAGUACUCCUUUCUUCAUCUAAACUUAAAUUGGAGGAAAUAAUGCUAAUAAUUUCUAAUGCAUUGCUUUUCUGCUUACUUCCACAUUGUUGCAUAUUAGCUGGCAAACAAAAAGAAUUAGUGAAAUAGUUCCAAGAAAAUAGGAGUUCCCAUCGUGGUGCAGUGAUUAACAAAUCCGACUAGGAACCACAAGGUUGCGGGUUCGGUUCCUGGCCUUGCUCGGUGGGUUAAGGAUCCGGCAUUGCCAUGAGCUAUGGUGUAGGUUUUCUUUUUGCCAAGAAAUGGCAAAAAGACAAAAAGACAAAAAAAAAAAAAAAAAAAAAAAAAAA